UCAAUCUAUUGCUCCAAAAAUCUAUCUUAGAUCAAUUUAGCUAGAGCUAAUCAGUGACUGUAGGUCGGCAACGGUAAAAUGGUGAUAGUAGGACCUACAAGAUAAGUUCUCGAUCAGAGUUGACUCUGGUAGAGAUCCUCUAACGCUCAAGUCAGAAUCUUAGAAUGGAUGAAAAGGAGUAAACAUAUUAAGAGAGAAGUGAUUUCAUAUCUUAGAGAUCUCCUAUG
rnacentral:lncRNA from 1 species